CAAGUACUCACACUCACUCGUCCCCGGCCCAUUGACAACCCUGAUCCUGACAGUGUGUUUAAGAAGGAACUG